GGCUCAAUGGUCUAGUGGUAUGAUUCGCGCUUCGGGAUGCAUAUGAGCUUCCCUUGCUUGCAAAACAACAAGCAACAAAGAUGUGCGAGGUCUCGGGUUCGAUCCCCGAUUGAGCCC